CCACAGUGCCCCUCAACAACACUACUGGUCACAGUUUUCAGGCUUGCCAUAGCCAAAGACAGUCCUGAGACACCGUCUCAACCUCAUCUGCACCUGUGAGAGGCCAAUCAGAGGUGUGAGAACACUGCUCCACCGUGGACUUGCCUUUGUCGUGGUCCCUGUCUUUUGCAGAGAGCCCCUGUGAGGCCCAGGAAGAAGGGAGGCAGUGAGGUCAAGAGCCUGGCAAUCUUUCAUUGACACCCUCGUCUGGGGUCUCAGCGACAAUUUCCUGCGGCUUGGCAGAGAAAGAGACCUCUGUGGAGGUGCGUCAGUGGUGGACUCUCACCUGUUGGAUGCAGGGGAUAGUCCCAUCAUCCUAGGUGAGCGCAGACGUGAGCCAGCCUGAAGAAACGGCAGCCAUAGCCUCAGGAAUAAACCGCAAUAUCCCUAAUGAUCCAAAAAGAUCUGCAGGAUUUCUCAGGCCUGCCUACACAUCGUAGCGCCGCCAACAAGGAGACUUAUUCUUCCACUUCUGUCAGAGGACUGCAUGAUUCCUGUAAAAUGACAAGCAGACAGCAUUGCCUGGCUUGGGAUCAAAGCUCUGACUCAUUUCAUCUGCCUGUCACUUCUAAUUGUGGAGAGGGUCUUCCAUUGGGCUCUUGCCUAAUGGGACUGCCUCUCAUUAAACAUCUUUGGCUGCCAUGGAAUUCAGGGAGCAAAUGGGAUUUCAGGUAGGCUGGCUGUGUUCCAGGUUGUGGUUGUUGUCUGUGUGGGGGCUGUGGGUGUGUGCACUUUGCAGGAGGCUUUUGGAUCCCCUUCCAGGAAUCUUGGAAUGUUGCUUGGACUCGAGCACAAGACAGCUUGUUCUCUCUGGUGAGCCUUGAUUUUUAUUUGCUCUCAUGAAAAAGCCACAGUGCACCUCAACAGUUCUACUGGACGAAGUUUUCAG
rnacentral:lncRNA from 10 species